rnacentral:rRNA from 1 species
UACGGAGGGUGCAGGCGUUGUCCGGAUUUAUUGGGUUUAAAGGGUGCGUAGGCGGUGCUUUAAGUCAGUGGUGAAAGCCUGCAGCUUAACUGCAGAAUUGCCAUUGAUACUGAUGGUCUUGAGUACACUUGAGGUGGGCGGAAUGUGUCAUGUAGCGGUGAAAUGCUUAGAUAUGACACAGAACACCGAUUGCGAAGGCAGCUCACUAAAUUGUAACUGACGCUGAGGCACGAAAGCGUGGGGAUCAAACAGG